GAGGGGAUAGCUCAGCUGGUGGAACACCUGUCUAGAAGGCACGAGGUCCCAGGUUCAAAAAACCCUGGUUCCACCA